rnacentral:misc_RNA from 1 species
GAUUUGUUUUCAUUACUCUAUAAUUAGGGGUCGCGAGGCGAUGCCACCUCUUCCGCCAAUGACUUCAACUCCACCUCUCCGCUACCACUUCCAUUUCGACGUGAUGUGGGGGUCGGGGUUCCGCGGUCGAGGCGGCGCGGCGGUGGCUCUGAUCGAUUGGCACCCCGAUUCUAAUGCUCCGCUUGUGUGCGUCUGUGCGUGCGCGUGCCUACACAUCCACAGGUUUUUCGUCUUGGAUUCCACGGCAGUUCAGCUUCGGCCAUAGGAGCGGCGACACCAGGAGCGACGUCAGUAGCAACGCAGAUCC